UCUACUGUCAACAUAACAAUGCACUUUCAUACCUGAGAAAAUAACUUAAACUCGACGUACUACAAACUUCAGCUAGUUACGUGCAACGCUUACGCAACGCGAGACGUUUCUACAUGGUGGACAAUGGAAUCGAAGCAAUUAAUUAGCUUUGGAACGCGUUUGAGAGUCAAAGGACACCCUUCGAGACAUCAGGAUAAUCUGCAUACACAUCCAUAUUUGAACGGUUCAUAGACAUUCGUACCUGAUUCCUCGAUGGAAAGCCGAUCCAUAAGCCACUCGACGAGGUCGUAACCUGCAACACGCAGGCAGUCUACUGUACUCUCCUGGCCGUGAUGGCCGCUUACGUUUAUGCCACAACGCAGGUACCGAUGGCACUCACCCAUGAACGCUGAGGGGAUCGAGGUGAGAAAUUGUUUUUGGCUGCGCACGGGUACCCCGUUUUGAGGGUCUUGCAUCUCCCGCACCAGCC